CUCGGCAGGAACAGGUAGCCCAGGUCCGCCUCGCCGUGGGCGGGGCGGACCCGGUCGGCGGGGCCCAGGUUCCGGCGUUCCAGCAUCACCGUGCCGAUC
rnacentral:tRNA from 1 species